CACUCCUGCGGGAGGCAGCAGUGGGGAAUAUUGGACAAUGGGCGCAAGCCUGAUCUAGCCAUGCCGCGUGAGUGAUGAAGGCCCUAGGGUUGUAAAGCUCUUUCACCGGUGAAGAUAAUGACGGUAACCGGAGAAGAAGCCCCGGCUAACUUCGUGCCAGCAGCCGCGGUAAUACGAAGGGGGCUAGCGUUGUUCGGAUUUACUGGGCGUAAAGCGCACGUAGGCGGACUAUUAAGUCAGGGGUGAAAUCCCGGGGCUCAACCCCGGAACUGCCUUUGAUACUGGUAGUCUUGAGUUCGAGAGAGGUGAGUGGAAUUCCGAGUGUAGAGGUGAAAUUCGUAGAUAUUCGGAGGAACACCAGUGGCGAAGGCGGCUCACUGGCUCGAUACUGACGCUGAGGUGCGAAAGCGUGGGGAGCAAACAGGAUUAGAAACCCCUGUAGUCCCAUG
rnacentral:rRNA from 1 species